UACAGAGGGUGCGAGCGUUGUCCGGAAUCACUGGGCAUAAAGGGCGCGUAGGCGGCUUGAUAAGCGUGCGGUGAAAGCCCGGGGCUCAACCCCGGGUCGGCCGUGCGAACUGUCGAGCUGGAGCACUGUAGAGGCAGGUGGAAUUCCGGGUGUAGCGGUGGAAUGCGUAGAGAUCCGGAAGAACACCGGUGGCGAAGGCGGCCUGCUGGGCAGUGGCUGACGCUGAGGCGCGACAGCGUGGGGAGCAAACAGG
rnacentral:rRNA from 1 species